GAUGGUUGUCAUACAAUUCAUUCAUGCUUAUACAUUAACACACGUUUAACUUGAUUAUAAAAAAAAAUCAUAUUGACUUUUGACACCAAAAUCUCGGUCUACACACCUCAAAGACAUGAUAAUGUUUUGGAUUUGCUGAAUUCCUUGUCCACAUGUGUGAAAACUUGAACAUAAUAACAAUAAUAACAUCAACACUCAUUUUAUAAUACCAUCAUCUAGUCUUUAGAAGGAAUAUACAAACACACGCAACCUUCUGCUCUCUCUCUCAAGAAACUGGUGACCGGAGAUCGGAGCUCCGGCGACGCGCACCCCCUGCAAACCACCCUCCUCCUCCCUCUUCACUUUAAACCAUCCCAUAGCCCCCUGUUUCUCUCAGUUACACGGCCGGCCACCACCCAACCGGUGGUGGCGUACGGCGGCGGCAGUGGAUUCCGACGACCCUGAUGAUGAUGAUAAUGUUGAUAAAGCUGAUGAUGAUGAAUUCAAACUCCGACAGCCGUAUCUCACUCUGGUUCCGACGAUGACGAUAUUGUCACUGAUGUUGACGAUGGUGACGAUACUGAUGGAGAUGAAUGGCAGCGACAGUGGUGCGAUGGUGUGGAGGAUCCGACGCAAAUAACUUCGGUCGUAUCAAUAACGGUGGUGGUGGGUUCGUGGUGGUGACAGUGGUGAGCGUCUAAGGUUGUGGAGGUGAUGAUUACUUCUGAUCGACUUGGAGAUGAGUUUCAGCUCGGUUUCGGUUCAGGGUUCAUGAUGCAGCUCGGUCAACUCACGGUUCGGGUUACGUCUCGGCUCAGCUUGGGUUGAUUCGGGUCAAAGAUGUGUACGGUCAUCAGGUCAGUUUUGGGUUCAUGACUCGAUUUGGGUCCAGUUAAAACCAAGUCCACUGCAGGUUCUCGUUUCGAGUCAACUGGUCAGCCACGGUUCGGGUGCGGUUCGAUGGGCCAGAUUUUGGUUCGUAAUAAUUUUGGUCAACUGUGGUCAACCCCGGUCAACAUCAGGUCAACUGCGGUCAACAACAGUCAAACGCGACCCGGAAUGUCAUAGUUGCACGCUAGCUAAGUUACGUUCUUGGAACGACACUACGGAAUCACACUAAGCUAGCCUUGCACAGGAAUAUCCAGGUUGCAUUUUCAAAACUAUGGAACGGUUGGAAUAGGAGAACCCAUGGGAAUUCGAGUACUUAGCUGCGUUCAGUUUCUAGAAGUUUUAGCAUUAUUAGCUUCCGCUGUGCAAUGAAGAUACCGGUCCAGUCACGCCAAGCUCUGAUAUUUCGGGGUGUGACACAUUUAACUUGAAAUUAAAAAAAAAAAUAAAAACAUUGUUAUCCUUAAACAUUGGAUAUAACUAGAUAAAUACAACCAUCAAAUGAUAAAUCAAAACACAAGAAGUCUACUACACCACCAAACGAUGAAUCAAGUUUAACUAACUUACACAUAAUUAUCCCCAAAAAUGUUUUAGAAUGUCUAAAUUUUAGCUAACAAAGAAACAAAUAGGAUUUCAAGUUUCCAAUAUGUUUAGCUAAAUGGUUUAUUAUGUAUUAUUUUUUGAUAUAAUCAAACGAACACGAACGAACGUAACCGAACGUAUUGCCGAACGUUCAUGAACGUAGUCGAACGAAUGAGAUCUGUGUUCGUGUUCGUUCGCUAAGUUAAUCUAACGAAAUUUUUUGUUCGUGUUCGUUCGUUAAGCUAAUCGAACGGACAUAAACGAACUUCCCGCCGGACGGUUCACGAACUGUUCGCUGAACGUUCGGUUCAUUUACAGCCCUAGUUACGAUGGAAUCGAUUCCUAACAUUUCAACCAAGCUUUUCAUACAACACAAAGUUUUUAUUAAAACCGGUUACAUUACAUUAUAACACUAAACAUUUAGUUAACAUAAAACACACUAAAUCCUACAAAUUCAACAUUACAUAAAACACUAAGAAUUUGAAGAACCGGCCGUGGAUGCUUCACCGGCUUCAUUUUCCUUCGCCUUUGUAACCAGACAAUGACUAUCGGUGUGUUUUUUUAGCGUCGAGUUGACCGUAGCCUUAAUAAACUUGCCGCAAGCUUUGCACCGUGCCAUCUCAUGGCUAUCGCUCAUUAAGCACAAAUCAAAGUGAUUCCAAACUUGGGGGUUUCUUUUGGUUUCCAAAACCAUGACUACUUCAUCGUUGCAUGCCAUAACGAGCUUUGAAGAUAUAGAUUAGAAGGUGUAACUUGAAACCGAUUUAUCUAUUUUUUGAGUAGGAGUAAGUUAUGUUUGAAGGUGAUAUGUAUAUAUAUACUUGAAAACGAUUUUAGCCAUAAAUCGAUUUCUAACGGCAUUAUAGCUGUUGAU
rnacentral:lncRNA from 1 species